rnacentral:rRNA from 1 species
CAGCACCUCAAGUGGUCAGGAUGAUUAUUGGGCCUAAAGCAUCCGUAGCCGGCGCUGUAAGUUUUCGGUUAAAUCUGUACGCUCAACGUACAGGCUGCCGGGAAUACUGCAGCGCUAGGGAGUGGGAGAGGUAGACGGUACUCGGUAGGAAGGGGUAAAAUCCUUUGAUCUAUUGAUGACCACCUGUGGCGAAGGCGGUCUACCAGAACACGUCCGACGGUGAGGGAUGAAAGCUGGGGGAGCAAACCGGAUUAGAGACCCCCGUAGUCC